rnacentral:lncRNA from 1 species
UACCUACCUGGGUUAGCUUAAGAAUCCCUGCCACAGAUAUCACGAACCCCUGAUUAAAACACAAACUUUAAUUAUUUAAUUAACUAAGAAAUAUAAUUUAAACUAUUUCUAAUCCCUUAAACCCUUAAGUUCAUAGAUCCAAGAAUGGGCCCCUAAGAUCAAACAUAGACUCUAAAAUCAGGAUCCUUUAAACUCAAGUCAAUCGUGGCCCAACACAGAUUAAGCCCAAUUGAGCCAAACCAGAUAACAGGUCCGGAUCAGAUUUCGAGCCCAACCCAAACCAGCCCACAGUUCCAAUUUGGCCCGACUCAGCCCAACACAGACCCCUAGCCCAACCCAAACCAGGUCUGAUCAGACCAUAACAAAACCCAUUCAUGGAAUAGGUGGAACCGGUUCACAAUUUAAACCCGGUUCAAAGUCUGGUUCACCCUUAAGGCACGGAUUUCGAUGCAAAGGAAACACCCAAAGCUCAUCUGUGCCUGGUUUGAGACACCAACAGGGCACAGAAAAUGAUGCAAGGAAAACACCCAGCCGGCGGAAGAAGAAGAAGAAGAGGAAGAAGAAGAAGAGGAAGAAGGAGAAGAAGAAGAAGAAGAAGAAGAAGGUGGCUGGUGGUCGGCCCUCGGCGGCCGACCGUGGUCCUCGGCGGCGUGCUCGGCCAGCCGCCGUCGGCUACCCCACCUUCACAGGCGGCACCGAACGGGAAGAAAGAGAGAA